GGUAGGGUGGCCGAGCGGUCUAAGGCACUGUAUUAAGACUCCAGUCUCUUCAGAGGCAUGGGUUUGAAUCCCACUGCUGCCA
rfam:Homo sapiens chromosome 20, GRCh38 reference primary assembly.